GUUAGGAAUAUUGGACAAUGGGCGCAAGCCUGAUCCAGCCAUGCCGCGUGAGUGAUGAAGGCCUUCGGGUUGUAAAGCUCUUUAGCCGAUGAUUAUAAUGACUGUAGUCGGAAAAUAAGCCCCGGCUAACUUCGUGCCAGCAGCCGCGGUAAUACGAAGGGGGCGAGCGUUAUUCGGAAUCACUGGGCGUAAAGCGUGCGUAGGCGGCUUUGCAAGUUGGGAGUGAAAGCCCAGGGCUCAACCCUGGAAUUGCUCUCAAAACUGCAAGGCUCGAAUUCGGGAGAGGAUAGCGGAAUUGUCAGUGUAGCAGUGAAAUGCGUAGAUAUUGACAGGAACACCAGUGGCGUAAGCGGCUAUCUGGACCGAUAUUGACGCUGAGGCACGAAAGCGUGGGGAUCAAACAGGAUUAGAUACCCUCUGUAGUCC
rnacentral:rRNA from 1 species